rnacentral:rRNA from 1 species
AUAUAAAAUAAUCUCCUGCCCAGUGAAACUAUUCAACGGCCGCGGUAUCCUAACCGUGCAAAGGUAGCAUAAUAAUUUGCCCAUUAAUUGUGGGCUAGCAUGAACGGGGUUUCGAAAUAAGAUCUGUCUCACUCGGAUUCCUAUAAAUUUAUCUAAAAGUGAAGAAGCUUUUAUUAUAAUAAAAGACAAGAAGACCCUAUAGAACUUUAUCUAAUACAUAUAAUAUUUAAAUAGAUUUGGUUGGGGCGACCCAGGAUAAUUCAUCCUCAAACUUAAAGAUUAAUAAAUCGCAUAAAGAUCCCUCUAGGAUCGUAAAAUCAAGCUACCUUAGGGAUAACAGGCUAAUCUUACUAAAGAGUUCAUAUCAAAAGUAAGGAUUGGCACCUCGAUGUUGGCUUAGAUAACCUUUUUGGCGCAGAUGUCAUCAAAGGGGG